UUAAUAGCUGCGAAAAAAUCAAUUUUCGUAAUGUUAAGAGAAAAUGGAGUAAAUUGAUUUUUAUAAAGGGUAUAUUAGAUUCGUUGAAAAGUGAGUAAAAGGUAGAAGAAGCAUUUAUGAUCGUAGAGAUGAAGUAAAAUUGGCGUGUGAUCUGAUGACAGAUCUGUUAAGUGUUCCACGUGGACAUGAUCUCUAGCGCUCUUCUUGUCACGGAAAAAUCAAUCAAGUUAGGCUUCUUAUUAGGAAUUGUUGGCCAAUCAGUAGGCUUGCCAGGAAAGAUAAGACCAAGCUUUUUUCUUGGUGUUAUUAUAGCGUUGUCCAGCUGUCUUCCUUUGGGGUUGGUCAAAGAACUGAACAAAUUCAUCUUCGGAAUGGAACAGCGUGAGGGAAAGUAUAUAGCGGAUAAGUUUACGAAACCGAUUUUGGUAUUGAUGUAUAUUUAUGUAGCUUGAACAGAGGCUGUUGCAAAUGAUGACAACUCAUAGUGCCUGAUGCGUUU